UACGUAGGGGGCUAGCGUUGUCCGGAUUUAUUGGGCGUAAAGAGCGUGUAGGCGGCCAGGUAGGUCUGCUGUGAAAACUCGAGGCUCAACCUCGAGACGCCGGUGGAAACCAUCAGACUAGAGUCCGGAAGAGGAGAGUGGAAUUCCUGGUGUAGCGGUGAAAUGCGCAGAUAUCAGGAAGAACACCCGUGGCUAAGGCGGCUCUCUAGUACGGUACUGACGCUGAGACGCGAAAGCGUGGGGAGCGAACAGG
rnacentral:rRNA from 1 species